rnacentral:rRNA from 1 species
GGAUGCGAUCAUACCAGCACUAAUGCACCGGAUCCCAUCAGAACUCCGAAGUUAAGCGUGCUUGGGCGAGAGUAGUACUAGGAUGGGUGACCCCCAAGUACAUUUUGCGCGCGGUAC